rnacentral:rRNA from 1 species
AUUGAACGCUGGCGGCAUGCCUUACACAUGCAAGUCGAACGGCAGCACGGGAGCAAUCCUGGUGGCGAGUGGCGAACGGGUGAGUAAUAUAUCGGAACGUGCCCCGUCGUGGGGGAUAACGUAGCGAAAGCUACGCUAAUACCGCAUACGAUCUAUGGAUGAAAGCGGGGGAUCGCAAGACCUCGCGCGAUUGGAGCGGCCGAUAUCAGAUUAGGUAGUUGGUGGGGUAAAGGCUCACCAAGCCGACGAUCUGUAGCUGGUCUGAGAGGACGACCAGCCACACUGGGACUGAGACACGGCCCAGACUCCUACGGGAGGCAGCAGUGGGGAAUUUUGGACAAUGGGCGCAAGCCUGAUCCAGCAAUGCCGCGUGCAGGAAGAAGGCCUUCGGGUUGUAAACUGCUUUUGUACGGAACGAAACGGUCUGGGUUAAUACCCUGGGCUAAUGACGGUACCGUAAGAAUAAGCACCGGCUAACUACGUGCCAGCCGCCGCGGUAAUAC